AUGAACGCUGGCGGCGUGCCUAAUACAUGCAAGUCGAGCGAACAGACGAGGAGCUUGCUCCUCUGACGUUAGCGGCGGACGGGUGAGUAACACGUGGAUAACCUACCUAUAAGACUGGGAUAACUUCGGGAAACCGGAGCUAAUAACGGAUAAUAUAUUGAACCGCAUGGUUCAAUAGUGAAAGACGGUUUUGCUGUCACUUAUAGAUGGAUCCGCGCCGCAUUAGCUAGUUGGUAAGGUAACGGCUUACCAAGGCAACGAUGCGUAGCCGACCUGAGAGGGUGAUCGGCCACACUGGAACUGAGACACGGUCCAGACUCCUACGGGAGGCAGCAGUAGGGAAUCUUCCGCAAUGGGCGAAAGCCUGACGGAGCAACGCCGCGUGAGUGAUGAAGGUCUUCGGAUCGUAAAACUCUGUUAUUAGGGAAGAACAAAUGUGUAAGUAACUAUGCACGUCUUGACGGUACCUAAUCAGAAAGCCACGGCUAACUACGUG
rnacentral:rRNA from 1 species